AUGAAAAAGUUGAAUUAGACUGCAAUUUUCAAUUUAUACGAACUUUUGGCUGCUAUUGUUCUUUUUUUCAAUGACUGCAAUUUGCAAAGUACAAACUUUAAAUAACUGCAAUUUACAAAUUUUUCAAAAAAAAAAAAUAAAAAUAAUAAAUCCUAGUGUAAUCCGGGUAGAUCUUUAUAAACCGACCUAUUUCCGGGUAGUAUAAAAAUAGUAGGAAAGCGAAUAAAGUAUGGUAUAGACGGUUUCAAAAACACAAAAAAGAUUAGGAUAAAAUUUAGUUGGAGAAAACAAUUAGGGUUUGGUGAAAGUGUGGAAAUUCUGGAUCAAUGGAGGUCGAGCGUAGAAUAUACGAUAAAGAUAGAUUUGAUGAUUUCUUGAAGAAAUACUUCGAUGAUUAUGAUGAUUACUCGGAAACGGGAAGGAAGUUUAGUUAUAGGAAGGAGUUGAAGAUUUUGAAGAAAUUGUUCCUGAAAAUAAAAAUUUGUACCAAGAAUCGUGAAUUGCAUGCCAUGAAUUACAUUGAUAUUAUGAAAAAGUUGAAGAAUGUUGUAAUUGAUGUUUCUGACGCCUGCUUUAUUCAAGUUGAUGCCCUUGAAUUGCUUUCACAAUCGAAACAUCACUCCACUUACUCUUCGAUUAUCGAUUUCUUAAUCAAUCACUAUUCUCCAAUUUAAUGAUUUAUGAUUAAAUUAUUGUUAAUGAUGAAUGAUUUAAGGUAAUCGGUGAAUUUUCAGGCAUUUGAUGAACCAGAGAACAAAUUUGGCCUUCGCCGUGAAGGUGCUAUGGGGUCUGUUGAUCCGGCUAAUGAAGCGGAAUUAGCCCUUGAAGUGAUUGAUUAUUAUAACAAGCACAAGGGAGCAAAACUCAAAUUUGUGUGUAUGAAAAGGGCCAAUGUUCUAUUUUGCUAUCUUAUUCAUUACUACAUUACAUUUACUGCCGUUGAUGAAGAUACUGGCUGUAUCGGUACAUACCAAGCAGCACUGUUAAAGCGACAUUUAGUCAGCAUCAUCGGGUUGUUUAGAGAUGCUAAUGCUCAUAAAACCCUCUCUCUUCUUUCAAUCAAUGGUACAAUAUGGUUUUUAUUCUUUUUU